UACGGAGGGGGCUAGCGUUGUUCGGAAUUACUGGGCGUAAAGCGCGCGUAGGCGGACCUGCAAGUCGGGGGUGAAAGCCCGAGGCUUAACCUCGGAACUGCCUUCGAUACUGCGGGUCUCGAGUCCGGGAGAGGUGAGUGGAAUUCCUAGUGUAGAGGUGAAAUUCGUAGAUAUUAGGAAGAACACCAGUGGCGAAGGCGGCUCACUGGCCCGGUACUGACGCUGAGACGCCAAAUCGUGGGGAGCAAACAGG
rnacentral:rRNA from 1 species